GAUGAACGCUGGCGGCGUGCCUAACACAUGCAAGUCGAACGGAGAUUACGGACGGAAGUUUUCGGAUGGAAGACUGUAAUUCUUAGUGGCGGACGGGUGAGUAACGCGUGGGCAACCUGCCCUAUACAGGGGGAUAGCAGCUGGAAACGGCUGGUAAGACCGCAUAAGUCGGUUAAAUCGCAUGAUUUGAUCGGGAAAUGAGCAAUCAGGUAUAGGAUGGGCCCGCGUCCGAUUAGCCAGUUGGCGGGGUAAAAGCCUACCAAAGCGACGAUCGGUAGCCGGACUGAGAGGUCGGACGGCCACAUUGGGACUGAGACACGGCCCAAACUCCUACGGGAGGCAGCAGUGGGGGAUAUUGCACAAUGGAGGAAACUCUGAUGCAGCGACGCCGCGUGAGUGAAGAAGUAUUUCGGUAUGUAAAGCUCUAUCAGCAGGGAAGAUGAUGACGGUACCUGACUAAGAAGCCCCGGCUAACUACGUG
rnacentral:rRNA from 1 species